rnacentral:rRNA from 1 species
UACGUAGGGCGCAAGCGUUGUCCGGAAUCAUUGGGCGUAAAGAGCUCGUAGGCGGCCUGUUGCGUCCGCUGUGAAAUCCCCGGGGCUUAACCCCGGGCGUGCAGUGGAUACGGGCUGGCUGGAGGCAGGCAGGGGAGAACGGAAUUCCCGGUGUAGCGGUGAAAUGCGCAGAUAUCGGGAGGAACGGCCGGGUGGCGAAGGCGGUUCUCUGGGCCUGUACUGACGCUGAGGAGCGAAAGCGUGGGGAGCGAACAGG